rnacentral:rRNA from 1 species
UGGGGAAUAUUGCACAAUGGACGGAAGUUUGAUGCAGCGACGCCGCGUGGAGGGUGUAGGCCUUCGGGUUGUGAACUCCUUUUUCUCGCGAAAAAGGCACAGUUUUGGCUGUGUUGAUGGUAGUGGGGGAAGAAGCGCCGGCUAACUACGUGCCAGCAGCCGCGGUAAUACGUAGGGCGCGAGCGUUGUCCGGAUUUAUUGGGCGUAAAGAGCUCGUAGGUGGUUCGUCGCGUCUGUCGUGAAAGCCAGCAGCUUAACUGUUGGUCUGCGGUGGGUACGGGCGGGCUUGAGUGCGGUAGGGGUGACUGGAAGUCCUGGUGUAGCGGUGGAAUGCGCAGAUAUCAGGAGGAACACCGAUGGCGAAGGCAGGUCACUGGGCCGUUACUGACACUGAGGAGCGAAAGCGUGGGGAGCGAACAGG